rnacentral:rRNA from 1 species
GACGAACGCUGGCGGCGUGCCUAAUACAUGCAAGUCGAGCGAAUCACUGGGAGCUUGCUCCCGGUGGUUAGCGGCGGACGGGUGAGUAACACGUGGGCAACCUGCCUGUAAGACUGGGAUAACACCGGGAAACCGGUGCUAAUACCGGAUAAUCCUUUUCCUCUCAUGAGGAAAAGCUGAAAGUCGGUUUCGGCUGACACUUACAGAUGGGCCCGCGGCGCAUUAGCUAGUUGGUGAGGUAACGGCUCACCAAGGCGACGAUGCGUAGCCGACCUGAGAGGGGGAUCGGCCACACUGGGACUGGUACACGGCCCAGACUCCUACGGGAGGCAGCAGUAGGGAAUCUUCCACAAUGGACGAAAGUCUGAUGGAGCAACGCCGCGUGAGCGAAGAAGGCCUUCGGGUCGUAAAGCUCUGUUGUUAGGGAAGAACAAGUACCGGAGUAACUGCCGGUACCUUGACGGUACCUAACCAGAAAGCCACGGCUAACUACGUGCCAGCAGCCGCCGUAACAC